CCGUUCGUUCCCGUGGCUUCUGGACUCUUCUAGAUGUAGGAUAAUUGUGUGGCACCUUAAUAUCUCUAUGUAAAUCCGACGUGUGAGCCUUUCUUCCAUAAUUCCUGAUAACCCCCUGCAGAAAUAGACAAACACCAAAACUCGUGGAAUUCUGUCAGAUAAAACCCUAAGUCUAGGUGUUGGUUGCAUAUAAGUCCUUUUCCAUGAUUAUUUGACGGUUAAAUGUGAGCAUUAAGGACCAUCAACAAGCUCCCCCAAUCUUAACCUUUGCUCGUCCCUGAGCAAAGCUAAAAUCAGCAAGAAAAUAGGGGUUACUUUUAUGCCUCUUACUACAGGGUUUUUAAGUUAUCACUAAAGUCUUAAGUGAUUGAAAAACAGAACGAUCAAGUCAAGCACUAUGUCUCAAGUUCUCCUAUCUUACCUUUGUUCUGGAGUUUUUUUGUAAAAUUCCAAAAUAAAACUGAGGCAUUUGCCUUCUUCUCGAAAGAUAUAUAAGUAGAGCUUUAAAAAUUUUAGCAUACUUACUUUGCAUUUGACUAUGUCAUUGCUCGGAGCAAGGGAGAGGAAUGUCAUACUCCUAGAUCAAGACCUUUGACCUUUUUGAAAAGUUUGUCAUCUCUUACUGGCAUAUUGCUUAUUAGAGGGACCAUCGGCUAUCAUCAUUUUUUCUUUCUUCUUUUUUUUAGUCUCUCUCUCUUUUUUAAGUGGGCACCAAGUACCCCUAAUUCUACUAUCGGACACGUGUCUAUUUUUUCCACUCAGGUGGGUAUCUUUGCACCCCUAAUUCUACUUCGGACACUUGUCCAUUUUUACAUCUCGUCUCACUCUUUUUUUUCGAAUCAAAAUUUUGCAUAGUCCCACGUAUCUAACGCAAUAAUACUUCAGAAGAGUGAAACUUUUAUAUUUUUAAAACAAAAAUAUCUUGAUCUUUGGAGCAUGAUAAUUCUCUCAACCAAAACUACAAGAAUUAACAAUGGCUUGAACAAAGCAUGUAAUACCCGAUUUUAAGGACAAAACCAGAUAUGCACCUUAUGUGAUUUUAGAAAACAAAUCUCACAUAUAGCUACAAAUAAGGGAUAAUAUCGAAAGACAAUGCAUAAAUAUAUAACGUACUUAGUAUAAAAGAGAUAACCUUCAGUAUCAAACAGCGGAUAGAUAACUCCAAACUUCGGGUAUUAACUCCUCUCCACAGGAUCAAACUGACUGGUUGAUCACAAGCCCAAAACUUCUCCUGAGGUGUGGGGAAAUUGCAAGAGUGAGCACAUAUCGUACUCAACAAGUAUAACCAGGAGUUCAUGAGGCUCAAUAAGCUGACACUGGUUUGACUGCAUUUAGCUUUUAUAUGUAGAUAGCAUGUUUAAUCAUUGGAUAGCAAAUAUCAAGGUAGCAUAAAUAAUCCUAUAACCACAUGAUCAAUGUAUACAAGAAUUAAGAAUAACACAUAUAAACAACAUAAUAAACCAUC
rnacentral:lncRNA from 1 species